UACGAAGGGGGCUAGCGUUGCUCGGAAUCACUGGGCGUAAAGGGUGCGUAGGCGGGUCUUUUAAGUCAGGGGUGAAAUCCUGGAGCUCAACUCCAGAACUGCCUUUGAUACUGAAGAUCUUGAGUUCGGGAGAGGUGAGUGGAACUGCGAGUGUAGAGGUGAAAUUCGUAGAUAUUCGCAAGAACACCAGUGGCGAAGGCGGCUCACUGGCCCGAUACUGACGCUGAGGCACGAAA
rnacentral:rRNA from 1 species